GAGUUUGAUCGUGGCUCAGGAUGAACGCUGGCGGCGUGCCUAACACAUGCAAGUCGAACGGAGUUCUUAAGGAAUGCGGCUUCGGCCAAAUGACUUUUGAACUUAGUGGCGGACGGGUGAGUAACGCGUGAGCAACCUGCCUUUCAGAGGGGGAUAACAUUUGGAAACAGAUGCUAAUACCGCAUAAGAUUACAGUACCGCAUGAUACAGUGAUCAAAGGAGCAAUCCGCUGAAAGAUGGGCUCGCGUCCGAUUAGAUAGUUGGUGAGGUAACGGCUCGCCAAGUCGACGAUCGGUAGCCGGACUGAGAGGUUGAACGGCCACAUUGGGACUGAGACACGGCCCAGACUCCUACGGGAGGCAGCAGUGGGGAAUAUUGCACAAUGGGCGAAAGCCUGAUGCAGCAACGCCGCGUGAGGGAAGACGGUUUUCGGAUUGUAAACCUCUGUUUUCGGUGACGAACAAUGACGGUAACCGAGUAGGAAGCCACGGCUAACUACGUGCCAGCCG
rnacentral:rRNA from 1 species